rnacentral:rRNA from 1 species
GACGUAGGGGGCGAGCGUUGUCCGGAUUUAUUGGGCGUAAAGAGCUCGUAGGCGGCUCAGAAAGUCGGGUGUGAAACCUCCAGGCUCAACCUGGAGACGCCACCUGAUACUGCUGUGGCUAGAGUCCGGUAGGGGAACACGGAAUACCCGGUGUAGCGGUGAAAUGCUUAGAUAUCAGGAGGAACACCGAUGGCGAAGGCAGCUCACUGGGACGGUACUGACGCUGAGGCGCGAAAGCGUGGGGAGCAAACAGG